ensembl:piRNA 21ur-8718 ncRNA
UUGUUUGAUCAUACCGCAUUU